UGGGGAAUAUUGCACAAUGGGCGCAAGCCUGAUGCAGCGACGCCGCGUGAGGGAUGACGGCCUUCGGGUUGUAAACCUCUUUCAGCAGGGAAGAAGCGCAAGUGACGGUACCUGCAGAAGAAGCGCCGGCUAACUACGUGCCAGCAGCCGCGGUAAUACGUAGGGCGCAAGCGUUGUCCGGAAUUAUUGGGCGUAAAGAGCUCGUAGGCGGCUUGUCACGUCGGGUGUGAAAGCCCGGGGCUUAACCCCGGGUCUGCAUUCGAUACGGGCAGGCUAGAGUGUGGUAGGGGAGAUCGGAAUUCCUGGUGUAGCGGUGAAAUGCGCAGAUAUCAGGAGGAACACCGGUGGCGAAGGCGGAUCUCUGGGCCAUUACUGACGCUGAGGAGCGAAAGCGUGGGGAGCGAACA
rnacentral:rRNA from 1 species